AUAAGCGGAGGAAAAGAAACCAACAGGGAUUGCCUCAGUAACGGCGAGUGAAGCGGCAAAAGCUCAAAUUUGAAACCCUCGGGAUUGUAAUUUGAAGAUUUGGCAUUGGAGAAAGCUAACCCAAGUUGCUUGGAAUAGUACGUCAUAGAGGGUGACAACCCCGUCUGGCUAACCGUUCUCCAUGUAUUGCCUUAUCAAAGAGUCGAGUUGUUUGGGAAUGCAGCUCAAAGUGGGUGGUAAACUCCAUCUAAAGCUAAAUACUGGUGAGAGACCGAUAGCGAACAAGUACUGUGAAGGAAAGGUGAAAAGAACUUUGAAAAGAGAGUGAAAUAGUAUGUGAAAUUGUUGAUAGGGAAGGAAAUGAGUGGAGAGUGGCCGAGGUUUCAGCCGCCCCUCGUGGGCGGUGUACUGCCGACGCCGAGUCAUCGAUAGCGAGACGAGGGUUACAAAUGGGAGCG
rnacentral:rRNA from 1 species